AUUGAACGCUGGCGGCAGGCUUAACACAUGCAAGUCGAACGAGUGGCGGACGGGUGAGUAAUGCUUGGGAAUCUGGCUUAUGGAGGGGGAUAACGACGGGAAACUGUCGCUAAUACCGCGUACCAUAGGAUGAGCCCAAGUGGGAUUAGGUAGUUGGUGGGGUAAUGGCCUACCAAGCUGACGAUCUCUAGCUGGUCUGAGAGGAUGACCAGCCACACCGGGACUGAGAUACGGCCCAGACUCCUACGGGAGGCAGCAGUGGGGGAUAUUGCACAAUGGGCGAAAGCCUGAUGCAGCGACGCCGCGUGGGGGAUGAAGGCUUUCGGGUUGUAAACCUCUUUCGCUAUCGAACGGGUAGGUGGAGAAGAAGCGCCGGCUAACUACGUGCCAGCAGCCGCGGUAAUAC
rnacentral:rRNA from 1 species